UACGUAGGGUGCAAGCGUUAAUCGGAAUUACUGGGCGUAAAGCGUGCGCAGGCGGCUUUGCAAGACAGAUGUGAAAUCCCCGGGCUUAACCUGGGAACUGCAUUUGUGACUGCAUGGCUGGAGUGCGGCAGAGGGGGAUGGAAUUCCGCGUGUAGCAGUGAAAUGCGUAGAUAUGCGGAGGAACACCGAUGGCGAAGGCAACCCCCUGGGACUGCACUGACGCUCAUGCACGAAAGCGUGGGGAGCAAACAGG
rnacentral:rRNA from 1 species